AGCGGGGUGAUGGUGCUUGCACUAUCACUUAGCGGCGGACGGGUGAGUAAUGCUUAGGAAUCUGCCUAUUAGUGGGGGACAACAUCUCGAAAGGGAUGCUAAUACCGCAUACGUCCUACGGGAGAAAGCAGGGGAUCACUUGUGACCUUGCGCUAAUAGAUGAGCCUAAGUCGGAUUAGCUAGUUGGUGGGGUAAAGGCCUACCAAGGCGACGAUCUGUAGCGGGUCUGAGAGGAUGAUCCGCCACACUGGGACUGAGACACGGCCCAGACUCCUACGGGAGGCAGCAGUGGGGAAUAUUGGACAAUGGGGGGAACCCUGAUCCAGCCAUGCCGCGUGUGUGAAGAAGGCCUUAUGGUUGUAAAGCACUUUAAGCGAGGAGGAGGCUCUUUUGGUUAAUACCCAAGAUGAGUGGACGUUACUCGCAGAAUAAGCACCGGCUAACUCUGUGCCAGCAGCCGCGGUAAUACAGAGGGUGCAAGCGUUAAUCGGAUUUACUGGGCGUAAAGCGCGCGUAGGCGGCCAAUUAAGUCAAAUGUGAAAUCCCCGAGCUUAACUUGGGAAUUGCAUUCGAUACUGGUUGGCUAGAGUGUGGGAGAGGAUGGUAGAAUUCCAGGUGUAGCGGUGAAAUGCGUAGAGAUCUGGAGGAAUACCGAUGGCGAAGGCAGCCAUCUGGCCUAACACUGACGCUGAGGUGCGAAAGCAUGGGGAGCAAACAGGAUUAGAUACCCUGGUAGUCCAUGCCGUAAACGAUGUCUACUA
rnacentral:rRNA from 1 species